GGUGCCAGGAGCCGCGGUAAUUCCAGCUCCAAUAGCGUAUAUUAAAGUUGUUGUGGUUAAAAAGCUCGUAGUUGAACCUUGGGCCUGGCUGGCCGGUCCGCCUCACCGCGUGUACUGGUCCGGCCGGGCCUUUCCCUCUGUGGAACCCCAUGCCCUUCACUGGGUGUGGCGGGGAAACAGGACUUUUACUGUGAAAAAAUUAGAGUGCUCCAGGCAGGCCUAUGCUCGAAUACAUUAGCAUGGAAUAAUAGAAUAGGACGUGUGGUUCUAUUUUGUUGGUUUCUAGGACCGCCGUAAUGAUUAAUAGGGACAGUCGGGGGCAUCAGUAUUCAAUUGUCAGAGGUGAAAUUCUUGGAUUUAUUGAAGACUAACUACUGCGAAAGCAUUUGCCAAGGAUGUUUUCAUUAAUCAGGAACGAAAGUUAGGGGAUCGAAGACGAUCAGAUACCGUCGUAGUCUUAACCAUAAACUAUGCCGACUAGGGAUCGGACGGUGUUAUUUUUUGACCCGUUCGGCACCUUACGAGAAAUCAAAGUGCUUGGGCUCCAGGGGGAGUAUGGUCGCAAGGCUGAAACUUAAAGAAAUUGACGGAAGGGCACCACCAGGGGUGGAGCCUGCGGCUUAAUUUGACUCAACACGGGGAAACUCACCAGGUCCAGACACAAUGAGGAUUGACAGAUUGAGAGCUCUUUCUUGAUUUUGUGGGUGGUGGUGCAUGGCCGUUCUUAGUUGGUGGAGUGAUUUGUCUGCUUAAUUGCGAUAACGAACGAGACCUUAACCUGCUAAAUAGCCCGUAUUGCUUUGGCAGUACGCUGGCUUCUUAGAGGGACUAUCGGCUCAAGCCGAUGGAAGUUUGAGGCAAUAACACGUCUGU
rnacentral:rRNA from 1 species